rnacentral:rRNA from 1 species
UGAGGAACAUGACCUUCGGCGGGGGAUAGCCGGCCCAACGGCCGGGUAAUACCGCGUACGACCA